AAGGUUAAAGUAUGAUUGAUGCGCUAUCUGUGAUUGUCAACUGGCAAGGGUGCAGGCAUAGAGAACCAAGGUGAACUGGCGUGGAUGUAUUUGCUCUAAUGAACAAUAAAAUUGAUCCAUUCCACCAUACUUGGUUCUAAGCUUCUUUUCAUCUUUGAACAACGGUGAAGUAGCGCAAGGGUUUAGUAGAUCCUUUGUUUUGUCAGAGCUUUCUGCUCUGUUUCCAUAACGAUGAUGAUGAUGAAGAAUGAAACCCGAGAGACUUAGCAGAGCUGGUAAUGUAAAAUCUCACCAGAAAUGAAGCGAUGCAAGGAGCGAAAAUAUGAUCGUGAAGAAUUAAUCUGAAAUGGGUGGCAAUUCACAUUUGGCUUUUUGGAGUUUUGGCGUACAUCAGUCUCCCUCCUUACAAAGCUUUUGUUGUUGGGUAUUAUCCAUUCUCAUGAACAUCAGCCUGCAUUAGAAGAAAAUGAAGCACCCUCAUAUACCAUAGUAAUACUAGUUUGGACUGUAAUAGUUAUUUCACUUGCUCUCAUGCAUUGUGUGUAUCAGUCACCUUCAGGUCUCUGAACAUAUUCUCUCCUUAUAGCAUAAAUGGUUGAUUUCUGCAUA